rnacentral:tRNA from 1 species
GAAAUAUAGUCAAAUUGAGCUUCUAACUCAAUAAAUAGUGUUAUCCAUUAAUAUUUCU